rnacentral:rRNA from 1 species
UCCGGUCUUUUUAGCGAUACGGAACCACUCCUUCCCAUUCCGAACAGGAUAGUGAAACGUAUCAGCGCCGACGAUAGUUACCUGUGAUGGGUCGCGAAAAUAGGUCGGGGCCGGGA